GACGAACGCUGGCGGCGUGCUUAACACAUGCAAGUCGAACGGAAAGGCCCUGCUUUUGUGGGGUGCUCGAGUGGCGAACGGGUGAGUAACACGUGAGUAACCUGCCCCUGACUUUGGGAUAACUUCAGGAAACUGGGGCUAUUACCGGAUAGGAGCUCCUGCUGCAUGGUGGGGGUUGGAAAGUUUCGGCGGUUGGGGAUGGACUCGCGGCUUAUCAGCUUGUUGGAGGGGUAGUGGCUUACCAAGGCUUUGCAGGGUAGCCGGCCUGAGAGGGUGACCGGCCACAUUGGGACGGGGAUACGGCACAGACUCCUACGGGAGGCAAGGGUGGGGAAUGUUGCACAGUGGGAGGGAGGCAGAUGUGACACCGCCGCGUGGGGGAUGAGGGGAAUGGGGUUGUGAUCUGAUGUCGUCUGUGACGAAGCGUGAGUGACGGUACUGGGUGAAGAAGCACCGGCUAACUACGUG
rnacentral:rRNA from 1 species